GCACGGCACGGCACGGCGAAGGAUCUCCGGGGCUCGCCGGCUUCUUUUGAGACAGGCUCGGGAUUCAUUUGCGGCCGCGGCCCUUCCCGGCCGGCGGGAUCGGAACGGAACGAGGGGACACGGGAGGACACGGGAGACACCUGGAGCUGGAGCCGCUCCUGGAGAGGGCGUGCGGUGCCCGGCAGCAACCACGGGGAGUGUCGGGGCUCGGUGCUGGCUGCCUCAAGGGAGCAGCGGUGCCUGCCUGGAGAGGUGCGGAGCUUAACUUCCACAUGGGAGAGAUCCCGGGCACCCCCUGCGCCUCUGCGGGCAGCAGAAGCCCUGAAGGGAGAAGGUCGGCGGUGGUGUCUGAGGUGACGAUCGCGCAUUCUGCUCCAGAAACGUCGGGAUUUGUGUCCCAGUCACCUGGCAUACAGCAGCUCCGGGGAUUUCCCAAAAGGCCGCUUGAUUUGGGACACUGAGGAGCGAGCUCUGUGCUCCUGGUCCCGGCCCUGCGCACCAGCCGAUGCGGGGAGAUGAUGAUCCCGUCCCUUCUCUCUCUCCUGCCUAGGAACAGCCAUUCUCCGACCCUGGAAGGCCGAGGUGCAGCUCGCCAGUGUCCGUGUUCGGGGGUUUAUGUGGGAAUCAGAGCAGAAUGGAUCGGUAUCAAUAUUUCAUCUUUAACCAGAGGAACAUGGUCGUGCUGGGGAUGUUCCAGAUUGCCUUCAGCACCGUCUGUGUCACCAGUGGGUUCAUAGAUGGCAUUUUCAGAACAGAGUCUCAGCUGGGCAAAACCAGAGCUCCCAUUUGGGCUGGCAUGGCUCAUAGAACCACAGACUUCUUUAUGUUGGAAAGGACCUUUGAGUCCAGCCACUGAUCCUUACCAGUCCCUUCCAAACUGAUAUAUGAUUCCAUGAUUCUCCAGCACCAACAAUGUUUCUUCACCCAUAAAGCCUGAGAGCUGGAGCCUUUAAAGCAGGUGCUAGAGCUGGAAUCCCACCAGUGUCAGGUGGAAGGCUGCGCAGAGCCCAGGGAAUCCCAGAACACCUCUGGAAACCAGCAGCCAUUCUUCCUCUCUCAAUGCCUCCUCACAGCCCUCACUGGCUAUGCCAUUCAGCUGGAUAAAUGAGGCCUCCUUUGGGCACCCUGCAUCAACAGAGGAAGGAGAAAAAAUCCCACAUCCUCAGAGACAUCCUCAGAAUACUGCUAUUUUUUUGUGAGCCCUAGAAUAAUGACAACUUCUAAUGUUACUUAUUACUUCAGAUUUAAGAUUAUGUGUUGGUGCUGAUUUCCACAGAAAAACCAGACUGCCAUUUAAAAGUAAUGUUACUAAUACUUUUAAAUAACAUAUGGCUCUACAUUUAUUUGAGAAUUGUAAUGUUAAGCAACAUCAGUCAAUGACCUCAAAAGCAGGACUCUGGGGGAAAAAAAAUAAUAUUAGAAUUAUAUUCUGGUGAAGUGAAAAUACAGAGGGGACAAGAAAUAUGACUUCCAACGAAUUUAUAAAAGUUAAGAGGUUUUAUUUCUGAACAAGAUGAAACUAGAAGAAGAGUGAUGGAAAAGUCCUUUAGGGUCUUGAUUUACAUCCAAGUAAUCACUAUUUCUGUAACUGUUGUUUCACUUCCCAUUCUUCUGGAAUCUGAAAUAAAUAUUGAACAUGCCUCUGAAUCAUCAGAUGGGUGCUGCAGAUGCCUUAAAAUCACCCAGAGUCAUUGCAAGAAAGCACUGACAGUACUCCACGUAUUCUGACAGUCUGUUUUGUAAAAGUUGUCACCCACACAGACAGAAACUAGAAAGUCCUUUAACUCCCUCACAGCAUUUUUUUAACCAUAUGAAGUUAUGUUAUAAUUUCUUUUAUAAUUAUUGAAAACAAGUGGUAACAGUUAGUGGCAAAGCCAGUUUAUUAGUUUCUGGGAUUGUGCCUUGCCUGCCCCCAAGACAUACAAAAGAACACAACUUUACAGGCCGGUUAAAGUGAAAAUACACGUACAAAGCAUUCGGUACUCUGACAUCCAUCCUGUGGGCAAAACAUGCCCACUGAAAGCCAGGGUGCAACACUGAAUCCUGCAUUACUGACCACACUGCCUCCAUGGAAGAACCAUUAAAACAUGCUUUGUGCUCAACAUGGAAUUACACACUUGAACACCAUUUGCACAUAAUUUUCAUGACAUGAGGGCCCUUAUUUACAAGUUGUGAUAACUCAUAUAAAACUUAACAGAUGUGCAGGUGUUUCAGAUAAAACUUAACAGUAACACUGCAGUUACAUGAUUUUCUUACCCCAACCCCCAACCUGACUGACUUUAAAAUUCUUAGUUCUGGGAUAUUUUUAUUAAAAACAAACAAACAAAACCUCAAACCAACCAAACAAAACAAAACAAACAAAACCAACAAAACAAACAAAAGCCAUGAAAACUUGCUGACAUAUUUAGUAUACAAAUAAUUAAGAAGGAUCCUUCUCAGAAAAAGGAUUAAGUACAUGAGUGAAAAACAAUCUGUCCAACAGGACUGUAAACCA